CCUACGGGAGGCAGCAGUGGGGAACAUUGGACAAUGGGGGCAACCCUGAUCCAGCCAUGCCGCGUGUGUGAAGAAGGCCCUCGGGUUGUAAAGCACUUUCAGUGAGGAAGAACGCCUGGUGGUUAAUACCCAUCAGGAAAGACAUCACUCACAGAAGAAGCACCGGCUAACUCCGUGCCAGCAGCCGCGGUAAUACGGAGGGUGCGAGCGUUAAUCGGAAUUACUGGGCGUAAAGCGCGCGUAGGUGGCUUGAUAAGCCGGUUGUGAAAGCCCCGGGCUCAACCUGGGAACGGCAUCCGGAACUGUCAAGCUAGAGUGCAGGAGAGGAAGGUAGAAUUCCCGGUGUAGCGGUGAAAUGCGUAGAGAUCGGGAGGAAUACCAGUGGCGAAGGCGGCCUUCUGGACUGACACUGACACUGAGGUGCGAAAGCGUGGGUAGCAAACAGGAUUAGAUACCCGAGUAGUC
rnacentral:rRNA from 1 species